rnacentral:rRNA from 1 species
GUGUCAGCCGCCGCGGUAAUACGGGGGGAGCGAGCGUUGUCCGGAAUCACUGGGCGUAAAGGGUGUGUAGGCGUCCCGGUAAGUCUCUGGUGAAAGCCUUCCGCUAAACGGAAGAAUUGCCAGAGAUACUGUCGGGAUUGAGUCCGGGAGAGGGGAGCGGAAUUCCUGGUGUAGCGGUGAAAUGCGUAGAUAUCAGGAAGAACGCCAGAGGCGAAGGAGGCUCCCUAGCCCGGUACUGACGCUGAGGCACGAAAGCGUGGGGAGCGAACGGGAUUAGAUACCCCGGUAGUCCACGCCCUAAACGAUGGAUGCUAGGUGUUGGAUCCGAGGGGAGUCAACGCCGAAGCUAACGCGUGAAGCAUCCCGCCUGGGGACUACGGCCGCAAGGCUGAAACUUAAAGGAAUUGACGGGG